ensembl:lncRNA
CGGGGCGGCCCCGGGGCUCCGAGCGCCGCCUCAGCUUCUGCGAAAUCGUGCCGAUGGAUCUGGAGACGUCCUAGAGAGGUUUGGGGGCAUCCAGGGGGUUCUGGACUCAUGCAGAAGAGUCUGGAGAUGUCCAAGGAGGAUCCAGGGAGUCCCCAGGCCUGCCUGCAGCCGGACCCGGUGACACCGGAGCCCUGUGGCGCUGUCACCAUCCUCUGUCCCGAGGACGGGAGGUGAACUCUGUGCCACCAGCAGAGGGGACCACGGGUGACAUCAGUGUGGAACAGCCGUGACGCGGCGGCGUUGUCAUUGGGUGUCACCGUCACGCAGAGGGGACAAAAG